AGAAUCAACGCUGGCGGCGUGCCUAACACAUGCAAGUCGAACGAGAAAGGGUAGCAAUACCUGAGUAAAGUGGCGCACGGGUGAGUAACACGUGACUAACCUACCUUUUAGUGGGGGAUAACCUAGGGAAACCUGGGCUAAUACCGCAUAACACUUACGAGUCAAAGCAGCAAUGCGCUGAAAGAGGGGGUCGCGGCCGAUUAGCUAGUUGGCGGGGUAAUGGCCCACCAAGGCAGUGAUCGGUAUCCGGCCUGAGAGGGCGCACGGACACACUGGAACUGAAACACGGUCCAGACUCCUACGGGAGGCAGCAGUGGGAAUUUUGCGCAAUGGGGGAAACCCUGACGCAGCAACGCCGCGUGGAGGAUGAAGUCCCUUGGGACGUAAACUCCUUUCGAUCGGGACGAUAAUGACGGUACCGGAAGAAGAAGCCCGGCUAACUUCGCGCCAGCAGCCGC
rnacentral:rRNA from 1 species